rnacentral:tRNA from 1 species
CCAGGUGUGGCGAAGUUGGUAUCGCGCUAGUUUUGGGAACUAGAGACCGUGGGAUCGUGCCCCACCACUUGGACCA